AAGCGCCGCGACGUCCGUCGGGGAUGCGACGUACGGCGUCCGCGCGCGAAAGCUCGUGUCACGUGGCAACCAAACGGCGUGCAAUACCUCUUGGUAGUAUUCACAGAGAUCGGAGGACAAUCGAAGAUCUUUAUUUAUCCUUCGUGCGAAAAGCCGAAACGUUACAGCUGAGACGGGCGCGUUUUUAUGGUUUAUUAAAUUGAAAGGGAAACGUUUGUUCUUUUUGUUUUUGUUCUCGUUCUUCGUUUCUUGAAUUCAUCCACGCUGCGCUGAUUAAUCAUCUUCUAUCUAAUAAUUGAGUCAAUGCGUGAUUUAAAUACAUUUAUUUUACGAUAAUCGUGUACGAGAAAUUUGCGAAUAGAUAUGGUGUACGCAUAAAGAUUACGUGCUGGUUGACAUGUGGAUACAUGACUGUAUCUGUAAGAAAUAGAUACUUGUCAGCGACAAUUGCUGACAAUAAAUGUCAGAGCGAGGUACGCGCCGAGUUUUAAGGAGUUGAAGUCAACGUCGAGCGAGGCAAAGUUAUCUGAUGUACGAGAACGAGCCUCCAUAUGUCAACGGGAGUAACACCGAUAUACUCCGCACGUAAACACCGGAAAAUAGACGAACUCGUCUCGUCGUUGCUCGUAAAUCCUCAGUUGCCGUAGCGGUAAACACGCGCUCCGAUAAUCGUUUGGGCUGCAUUGUCCGCCAUAAAAAUUACGCAUGAAGAACGUUAGAAAAUGGGGCUCCGUAAAUCGCUUAACACACAUUUAUAAAGGAGCCCCUUCUACGCUGUGCGUUGAAGAUCGAUCCUUUUGUACAACAAGGACAAACGCGCAUGCCAAGGGCAAUUGCAUUACUGAAAUAAUUACGUCAGAAACAACACCGCAAGAAUUCCCAUAAUGAUCAGCGAAACCUAUGAGAACGAGACUCGCAUCACCAGUCACAGUGCAAUGCUAACUUAUCCGAAGAAAUCCGCUUCUUUUCGUGUCGGAGCACG